UACGUAGGUGGCAAGCGUUGUCCGUUGAUCUGGGCGUAAAGAGCGCGCAGGCGGUCGUUCAAGUCGCGUGUGAAAGCCCCCGGCUCAACUGGGGAGGGUCACGGCGAUACUGAUCGACUCGAAGGCAGGAGAGGGAAGUGGAAUUCCCGGUGUAGUGGUGAAAUGCGUAGAUAUCGGGAGGAACACCAGUGGCGAAGGCGACUUCCUGGCCUGUAACUGACGCUGAGGCGCGAAAGCGUGGGGAGCAAACAGG
rnacentral:rRNA from 1 species